UACGAAGGGUGCAAGCGUUACUCGGAAUUACUGGGCGUAAAGGGUGCGUAGGUGGUUUGUUAAGUCUGCUGUGAAAUCCCCGGGCUCAACCUGGGAAUGGCAGUGGAUACUGGCAAGCUAGAGUGCGGUAGAGGGUAGUGGAAUUCCCGGUGUAGCAGUGAAAUGCGUAGAGAUCGGGAGGAACACCGGUGGCGAAGGCGGCUACCUGGACCAGCACUGACACUGAAGCACGAAAGCGUGGGGGGCAAACAGG
rnacentral:rRNA from 1 species